ACGAAAGUCUGACGGAGCAACGCCGCGUGAGUGAAGAAGGUUUUCGGAUCGUAAAGCUCUGUCUUCAGGGACGAAUGUGCUUAAUGUGAAUAAUGUUAAGUAAUGACGGUACCUGAGGAGGAAGCCACGGCUAACUACGUGCCAGCAGCCGCGGUAAUACGUAGGUGGCAAGCGUUGUCCGGAAUUAUUGGGCGUAAAGCGCGCGCAGGCGGGAAUGUAAGUCUGUCUUAAAAGUUCGGGGCUCAACCCCGUGAUGGGAUGGAAACUACAUUUCUUGAGUGCAGGAGAGGAAAGUGGAAUUCCUAGUGUAGCGGUGAAAUGCGUAGAUAUUAGGAGGAACACCAGUGGCGAAGGCGACUUUCUGGACUGUGUCUGACGCUGAGGCGCGAAAGCCAGGGGAGUGAACGGGAUUAGAUACCCCGGUAAUCCUGGCCGUAAACGAUGAGUACUAGGUGUCGGGGGUUACCCCCCUCGGUGCCGCAGCUAACGCAUUAAGUACUCCGCCUGGGAAG
rnacentral:rRNA from 1 species